AUUGAACGCUGGCGGCAUGCCUUACACAUGCAAGUCGAACGGCAGCACGGCGCUUGCUCUGGUGGCGAGUGGCGAACGGGUGAGUAAUAUAUCGGAACGUACCCUGGAGUGGGGGAUAACGUAGCGAAAGUUACGCUAAUACCGCAUACGAUCGCAGGAUGAAAGCAGGGGACAGCAAGGCCUUGUGCUCCUGGAGCGGCCGAUAUCUGAUUAGCUAGUUGGUGGGGUAAAGGCCUACCAAGGCAUCGAUCAGUAGCUGGUCUGAGAGGACGACCAGCCACACUGGAACUGAGACACAGUCCAGACUCCUACGGGAGGCAGCAGUGGGGAAUUUUGGACAAUGGGGGCAACCCUGAUCCAGCAAUGCCGCGUGAGUGAAGAAGGCCUUCGGGUUGUAAAGCACUUUAAGUCGGGAGGAAGGGCUGUAGGCUAAUACCUUGCAGUUUUGACGUUACCGACAGAAUAAGCACCGGCUAACUUCGUGCCAGCCGCCGCCGUAACAC
rnacentral:rRNA from 1 species